UAUAACGGUCCUAAGGUAGCGAAAUUCCUUGUCGGGUAAGUUCCGACCUGCACGAAUGGCGUAAUGAUGGCCAGGCUGUCUCCACCCGAGACUCAGUGAAAUUGAACUCGCUGUGAAGAUGCAGUGUACCCGCGGCAAGACGGAAAGACCCCGUGAACCUUUACUAUAGCUUGACACUGAACAUUGAGCCUUGAUGUGUAGGAUAGGUGGGAGGCUUUGAAGUGUGGACGCCAGUCUGCAUGGAGCCGACCUUGAAAUACCACCCUUUAAUGUUUGAUGUUCUAACGUGGACCCGUGAUCCGGGUUGCGGACAGUGUCUGGUGGGUAGUUUGACUGGGGCGGUCUCCUCCUAAAGAGUAACGGAGGAGCACGAAGGUUGGCUAAUCCUGGUCGGACAUCAGGAGGUUAGUGCAAUGGCAUAAGCCAGCUUGACUGCGAGCGUGACGGCGCGAGCAGGUGCGAAAGCAGGUCAUAGUGAUCCGGUGGUUCUGAAUGGAAGGGCCAUCGCUCAACGGAUAAAAGGUACUCCGGGGAUAACAGGCUGAUACCGCCCAAGAGUUCAUAUCGACGGCGGUGUUUGGCACCUCGAUGUCGGCUCAUCACAUCCUGGGGCUGAAGUAGGUCCCAAGGGUAUGGCUGUUCGCCAUUUAAAGUGGUACGCGAGCUGGGUUUAGAACGUCGUGAGACAGUUCGGUCCCUAUCUGCCGUGGGCGCUGGAGAACUGAGGGGGGCUGCUCCUAGUACGAGAGGACCGGAGUGGACGCAUCACUGGUGUUCGGGUUGUCAUGCCAAUGGCACUGCCCGGUAGCUAAAUGCGGAAGAGAUAAGUGCUGAAAGCAUCUAAGCACGAAACUUGCCCCGAGAUGAGUUCUCCCUGACCCUUUAAGGGUCCUGAAGGAACGUUGAAGACGACGACGUUGAUAGGCCGGGUGUGUAAGCGCAGCGAUGCGUUGAGCUAACCGGUACUAAUGAACCGU
rnacentral:rRNA from 1 species